UACGUAGGUGGCAAGCGUUGUCCGGAUUUACUGGGCGUAAAGAGCGCGCAGGCGGUCUUUUAGGUCGAAUGUGAAAGCCCCCGGCUCAACUGGGGAGGGUCAUUCGAUACUGAUCGACUUGAAGGCAGGAGAGGGUAGUGGAAUUCCCGGUGUAGUGGUGAAAUGCGUAGAUAUCGGGAGGAACACCAGUGGCGAAGGCGACUACCUGGCCUGUUCUUGACGCUGAGGCGCGAAAGCUGGGGGAGCAAACGGG
rnacentral:rRNA from 1 species